UGGGGAAUUUUGGACAAUGGGUGCAAGCCUGAUCCAGCCAUGCCGCGUGCGGGAAGAAGGCCUUCGGGUUGUAAACCGCUUUUGUCAGGGAAGAAAUCCUUUGAGCUAAUACCUCGGGGGGAUGACGGUACCUGAAGAAUAAGCACCGGCUAACUUCGUGCCAGCAGCCGCGGUAAUACGAAGGGUGCAAGCGUUAAUCGGAAUUACUGGGCGUAAAGCGUGCGCAGGCGGUCUUGUAAGACAGUCGUGAAAGCCCCGGGCUUAACCUGGGAACUGCGAUUGUGACUGCAAGGCUAGAGUGUGUCAGAGGGGGGUGGAAUUCCACGUGUAGCAGUGAAAUGCGUAGAGAUGUGGAGGAACACCGAUGGCGAAGGCAAUCCCCUGGGCCUGCACUGACGCUCAUGCACGAAAGCGUGGGGAGCAAACA
rnacentral:rRNA from 1 species